rfam:Schistosoma mansoni, Puerto Rico, WGS project CABG01000000 data, contig: 0147
AGCGUUUUGAAUCUGUGUAGAGAUUUCGUCCGAGACCGACACAUUAGGGCUGAUCAGACUUCCGAGAUAAGUGAAGCU